CUACAUAGAUUUGAUCAUUUCAUCGAUUCAAUCAACCAAUCAAUCCUGUUUUCAAGCAAAAAAAAAAAAUUCUUUAUAGCCACUCAACAAUUUUCCAUCACCAAAUCGCCCUCUUUUCCAUCAUCAUUCUUUUUGCAAUACAAUUUUCAGUUUUUAAUCCAUUGAUUGAUAUAAAGAUGAUACACACACACACAUAAGAUACAUACCGAACAAAUUAUCAUGAUGAUGAUGAUGAGGGCCAGAGGUUGGUGGUCAAAACAAUCAUAUUUCACCCACAUUUUAUUUUC